rnacentral:rRNA from 1 species
UUUAACUGAAGAGUUUGAUCAUGGCUCAGAUUGAACGCUGGCGGCAGGCUUAACACAUGCAAGUCGAGCGGGGGAAGGUAGCUUGCUACUGGACCUAGCGGCGGACGGGUGAGUAAUGCUUAGGAAUCUGCCUAUUAGUGGGGGACAACAUCUCGAAAGGGAUGCUAAUACCGCAUACGUCCUACGGGAGAAAGCAGGGGAUCUUCGGACCUUGCGCUAAUAGAUGAGCCUAAGUCGGAUUAGCUAGUUGGUGGGGUAAAGGCCUACCAAGGCGACGAUCUGUAGCGGGUCUGAGAGGAUGAUCCGCCACACUGGGACUGAGACACGGCCCAGACUCCUACGGGAGGCAGCAGUGGGGAAUAUUGGACAAUGGGGGGAACCCUGAUCCAGCCAUGCCGCGUGUGUGAAGAAGGCCUUAUGGUUGUAAAGCACUUUAAGCGAGGAGGAGGCUACUUUAGUUAAUACCUAGAGAUAGUGGACGUUACUCGCAGAAUAAGCACCGGCUAACUCUGUGCCAGCAGCCGCGGUAAUACAGAGGGUGCGAGCGUUAAUCGGAUUUACUGGGCGUAAAGCGUGCGUAGGCGGCUUAUUAAGUCGGAUGUGAAAUCCCCGAGCUUAACUUGGGAAUUGCAUUCGAUACUGGUGAGCUAGAGUAUGGGAGAGGAUGGUAGAAUUCCAGGUGUAGCGGUGAAAUGCGUAGAGAUCUGGAGGAAUACCGAUGGCGAAGGCAGCCAUCUGGCCUAAUACUGACGCUGAGGUACGAAAGCAUGGGGAGCAAACAGGAUUAGAUACCCUGGUAGUCCAUGCCGUAAACGAUGUCUACUAGCCGUUGGGGCCUUUGAGGCUUUAGUGGCGCAGCUAACGCGAUAAGUAGACCGCCUGGGGAGUACGGUCGCAAGACUAAAACUCAAAUGAAUUGACGGGGGCCCGCACAAGCGGUGGAGCAUGUGGUUUAAUUCGAUGCAACGCGAAGAACCUUACCUGGCCUUGACAUACUAGAAACUUUCCAGAGAUGGAUUGGUGCCUUCGGGAAUCUAGAUACAGGUGCUGCAUGGCUGUCGUCAGCUCGUGUCGUGAGAUGUUGGGUUAAGUCCCGCAACGAGCGCAACCCUUUUCCUUACUUGCCAGCAUU